rnacentral:lncRNA from 1 species
AGACAGAGAGUAGAGAGAGAGAGAGAGAGAGGGAGAGUGGAGGUGAUGGAAACUAACCGGAGCAACCGAACCUCCACGACCCACCGGCGGUGGGGUGGAGAGAGACCCAACGCGACGGAGGAGGAGGAGGAGGAGGAGGAGGAGGAGGAGGAGAAGAGAGGGAGGAAAACCCAGAACCUUGAGAGAGAGGGAGUUGCUCCGCCGCCGGGUUCCGUCGGCAGGUUCUUCAACCAGCUCACCCCCGCCACAGAAAUCUCGGUGAAGGGAAGAGAGAGAGGCCACACGGGAGGGGGGAAGAAGACGGAUAACAAUAAAAAUCACCCAUUCCCACCAUGAGCGCCGCCUCCGCCACUAAACUCCGUCGGCUGCGCCGUCAGCCACAUCGCCGGCGCCGGCAACAUCAACAGCAACCUCCCAUCCGACGCCGCGGUCAACACCACCUCCAGUUCCAGCCAGAUUUCCGCAGAAAAGACGAGCUCCUUAACCGAACUGGUAGGCUAAUGGCCUGAUUAGGGCUAAAACUACGUCAUCAAAACGUCAUCAACAGGUAAUUUGUUUAUAAACAUGCCACGUGGCAGUUCACAGAAUACUAUAAUUAAAUAUCGUGGUAAUAAAUAGACCGUUGGAAUUUUCAGCUCCGAUCCACUACUCCGCGGGAGCACCGU